rnacentral:rRNA from 1 species
AGUGAACGCUGGCGGUAGGCCUAACACAUGCAAGUCGAACGGCAGCACAGUAAGAGCUUGCUCUUACGGGUGGCGAGUGGCGGACGGGUGAGGAAUACAUCGGAAUCUACUUUUUCGUGGGGGAUAACGUAGGGAAACUUACGCUAAUACCGCAUACGACCUACGGGUGAAAGCAGGGGAUCUUCGGACCUUGCGCGAUUGAAUGAGCCGAUGUCGGAUUAGCUAGUUGGCGGGGUAAAGGCCCACCCAGGCGACGAUCCGUAGCUGGUCUGGGAGGAUGAUCAGCCACACUGGAACUUAGACACGGUCCAGACUCCUACGGGAGGCAGCAGUGGGGAAUAUUGGACAAUGGGCGCAAGCAUGAUCCAGCCAUACCGCGUGGGUGAAGAAGGCCUUCGGGUUGUAAAGCCCUUUUGUUGGGAAAGAAAAGCAGCAGGUUAAUACCCCGCUGUUCUGACGGUACCCAAAGAAUAAGCACCGGCUAACUUCGUG